rnacentral:tRNA from 1 species
GGAGAGGUGCUGGAGUGGCUGAACAGGACUGACUGCUAAUCAGUUGCAUCGGCUAAAACCGGUGCCGGGGGUUCGAAUCCCCCCCUCUCCGCCA